UAUGCAUGUUGUAGAGUAAGAAAAUGCAUGAUUGAAUGAGUUGGGAGGCGUUUAUGCAUGUUGAGCUGAGUUUCUGCCCUUUGGGAAGAACUCAGGUUCGGCAGCCGAAGGCUCUUUUGGCCGCCGAACCUGCCUUUGGUAGCAUGUAUCGGCUGCCGAACCCUGCCCCCGAAAGUGGACUUUCGGCUCUGGAAGGGAGUUUCGGCCGCCGAAGGUGCCGCCGAACAUGCAUGAGUUUCGUCUCUGGAGGGAACCUUCGGCCGCCGAAAGUACCGCCGAAGGUGCAUGACUUUCGG
rnacentral:lncRNA from 1 species